rnacentral:rRNA from 1 species
ACGCUGGCGGCAGGCCUAACACAUGCAAGUCGAGCGGUAGAGAGAAGCUUGCUUCUCUUGAGAGCGGCGGACGGGUGAGUAAUGCCUAGGAAUCUGCCUGGUAGUGGGGGAUAACGUUCGGAAACGGACGCUAAUACCGCAUACGUCCUACGGGAGAAAGCAGGGGACCUUCGGGCCUUGCGCUAUCAGAUGAGCCUAGGUCGGAUUAGCUAGUUGGUGGGGUAAUGGCUCACCAAGGCGACGAUCCGUAACUGGUCUGAGAGGAUGAUCAGUCACACUGGAACUGAGACACGGUCCAGACUCCUACGUGAGGCAGCAGUGGGGAAUAUUGGACAAUGGGCGAAAGCCUGAUCCAGCCAUGCCGCGUGUGUGAAGAAGGUCUUCGGAUUGUAAAGCACUUUAAGUUGGGAGGAAGGGUUGUAGAUUAAUACUCUGCAAUUUUGACGUUACCGACAGAAUAAGCACCGGCUAACUCUGUGCCAGCAGCCGCGGUAAUACAGAGGGUGCAAGCGUUAAUCGGAAUUACUGGGCGUAAAGCGCGCGUAGGUGGUUUGUUAAGUUGGAUGUGAAAUCCCCGGGCUCAACCUGGGAACUGCAUUCAAAACUGACUGACUAGAGUAUGGUAGAGGGUGGUGGAAUUUCCUGUGUAGCGGUGAAAUGCGUAGAUAUAGGAAGGAACACCAGUGGCGAAGGCGACCACCUGGACUAAUACUGACACUGAGGUGCGAAAGCGUGGGGAGCAAAC